ACGUGGGGCUCCGGCCCCGCCGAGAUAGAACCCUUGCCUUUUCGAGUACCAAACGUUUCCUCGGCAGGUCCGCCUGCCAAUGGGGACCCAAACAAACCCUUGAAUCACCAGUUACAGUCUGAGAAAACAAAACAAAAAUCA
rnacentral:misc_RNA from 1 species